rnacentral:rRNA from 1 species
UACGAAGGGGGCAAGCGUUGUUCGGAAUUACUGGGCGUAAAGGGUGUGUAGGCGGGAAAGUAAGAUAGUGGUGAAAUGCCUGAGCUCAACUUGGGAACUGCCAUUAUAACUAUUUUUCUAGAGUGACAGAGAGGAUAUUGGAAUACCCAGUGUAGAGGUGAAAUUCGUAGAUAUUGGGUAGAACACCGGAGGCGAAGGCGAGUAUCUGGCUGUCAACUGACGCUGAGGCACGAAAGCAUGGGGAUCAAACA